UUGAACGCUGGCGGCAGGCCUAACACAUGCAAGUCGAGCGGUAGCACAGAGAGCUUGCUCUCGGGUGACGAGCGGCGGACGGGUGAGUAAUGUCUGGGAAACUGCCUGAUGGAGGGGGAUAACUACUGGAAACGGUAGCUAAUACCGCAUAAUGUCGCAAGACCAAAGUGGGGGACCUUCGGGCCUCAUGCCAUCAGAUGUGCCCAGAUGGGAUUAGCUAGUAGGUGGGGUAACGGCUCACCUAGGCGACGAUCCCUAGCUGGUCUGAGAGGAUGACCAGCCACACUGGAACUGAGACACGGUCCAGACUCCUACGGGAGGCAGCAGUGGGGAAUAUUGCACAAUGGGCGCAAGCCUGAUGCAGCCAUGCCGCGUGUGUGAAGAAGGCCUUCGGGUUGUAAAGCACUUUCAGCGGGGAGGAAGGCGUUAAGGUUAAUAACCUUGGCGAUUGACGUUACCCGCAGAAGAAGCACCGGCUAACUCCGUGCCAGCAGCCGCGGUAAUACGGAGGGUGCAAGCGUUAAUCGGAAUUACUGGGCGUAAAGCGCACGCAGGCGGUCUGUCAAGUCGGAUGUGAAAUCCCCGGGCUCAACCUGGGAACUGCAUUCGAAACUGGCAGGCUAGAGUCUUGUAGAGGGGGGUAGAAUUCCAGGUGUAGCGGUGAAAUGCGUAGAGAUCUGGAGGAAUACCGGUGGCGAAGGCGGCCCCCUGGGCAAAGACUGACGCUCAGGUGCGAAAGCGUGGGGAGCAAACAGGAUUAGAUACCCUGGUAGUCCACGCCGUAAACGAUGUCGAUUUGGAGGUUGUGCCCUUGAGGCGUGGCUUCCGGAGCUAACGCGUUAAAUCGACCGCCUGGGGAGUACGGCCGCAAGGUUAAAACUCAAAUGAAUUGACGGGGGCCCGCACAAGCGGUGGAGCAUGUGGUUUAAUUCGAUGCAACGCGAAGAACCUUACCUGGUCUUGACAUCCACAGAACUUUCCAGAGAUGGAUUGGUGCCUUCGGGAACUGUGAGACAGGUGCUGCAUGGCUGUCGUCAGCUCGUGUUGUGAAAUGUUGGGUUAAGUCCCGCAACGAGCGCAACCCUUAUCCUUUGUUGCCAGCGGUUAGGCCGGGAACUCAAAGGAGACUGCCAGUGAUAAACUGGAGGAAGGUGGGGAUGACGUCAAGUCAUCAUGGCCCUUACGACCAGGGCUACACACGUGCUACAAUGGCAUAUACAAAGAGAAGCGACCUCGCGAGAGCAAGCGGACCUCAUAAAGUAUGUCGUAGUCCGGAUUGGAGUCUGCAACUCGACUCCAUGAAGUCGGAAUCGCUAGUAAUCGUAGAUCAGAAUGCUACGGUGAAUACGUUCCCGGGCCUUGUACACACCGCCCGUCACACCAUGGGAGUGGGUUGCAAAAGAAGUAGGUAGCUUAACCUUCGGGAGGGCGCUUACCACUUUGUGAUUCAUGACUGGGGUG
rnacentral:rRNA from 1 species